UACGUAGGGUGCAAGCGUUGUCCGGAAUUAUUGGGCGUAAAGAGCUCGUAGGCGGUCUGUCGCGUCGGAUGUGAAAAUCCAGGGCUCAACCCUGGACCUGCAUUCGAUACGGGCAGACUAGAGUUCGGUAGGGGAGACUGGAAUUCCUGGUGUAGCGGUGAAAUGCGCAGAUAUCAGGAGGAACACCGGUGGCGAAGGCGGGUCUCUGGGCCGGUACUGACGCUGAGGAGCGAAAGCCAGGGGAGCAAAAGGG
rnacentral:rRNA from 1 species